UACGUAGGGGGCGAGCGUUGUCCGGAAUUAUUGGGCGUAAAGAGCUCGUAGGCGGCUCAGUAAGUCGGGUGGUGAAACCCUCAGGCUACAACCUGGGGAGACGCCACCCGAUACUGCGUGUGGCUAGAGUCCAGUUAAGGGGAGUGUGGAAUUCCCGGUGUAGCGGGUGAAAUGCGGCAGAUAUCGGGAGGAACACCAGCGGCGAAGGCGGCACUCUGGGCUGGAAACUGACGCUGAGGAGCGAAAGCGUGGGUAGCAAACAGG
rnacentral:rRNA from 1 species